AGUGAACGCUGGCGGUAGGCCUAACACAUGCAAGUCGAACGGCAGCACAGUAAGAGCUUGCUCUUACGGGUGGCGAGUGGCGGACGGGUGAGGAAUACAUCGGAAUCUACUUUUUCGUGGGGGAUAACGUAGGGAAACUUACGCUAAUACCGCAUACGACCUACGGGUGAAAGCAGGGGAUCUUCGGACCUUGCGCGAUUGAAUGAGCCGAUGUCGGAUUAGCUAGUUGGCGGGGUAAAGGCCCACCAAGGCGACGAUCCGUAGCUGGUCUGAGAGGAUGAUCAGCCACACUAGAACUGAGACACGGUCCAGACUCCUACGGGAGGCAGCAGUGGGGAAUAUUGGACAAUGGGCGCAAGCCUGAUCCAGCCAUACCGCGUGGGUGAAGAAGGCCUUCGGGUUGUAAAGCCCUUUUGUUGGGAAAGAAAAGCAGCAGGUUAAUACCCCGCUGUCCUGACGGUACCCAAAGAAUAAGCACCGGCUAACUUCGUG
rnacentral:rRNA from 1 species